rnacentral:rRNA from 1 species
UACGAAGGGGGCUAGCGUUGUUCGGAAUUACUGGGCGUAAAGCGCACGUAGGCGGACAUUUAAGUCAGGGGUGAAAUCCCAGAGCUCAACUCUGGAACUGCCUUUGAUACUGGGUGUCUAGAGUAUGGAAGAGGUGAGUGGAAUUCCGAGUGUAGAGGUGAAAUUCGUAGAUAUUCGGAAGAACACCAGUGGCGAAGGCGGCUCACUGGCCCGGUACUGACGCUGAGGUGCGAAAGCGUGGGGAGCAAACAGG